UACGUAGGGCGCAAGCGUUGUCCGGAAUUAUUGGGCGUAAAGAGCUCGUAGGCGGUCUGUCGCGUCUGGUGUGAAAUCCCGAGGCUCAACCUCGGGCUUGCAUCGGGUACGGGCAGACUAGAGUGCGGUAGGGGAGACUGGAAUUCCUGGUGUAGCGGUGGAAUGCGCAGAUAUCAGGAGGAACACCGAUGGCGAAGGCAGGUCUCUGGGCCGCAACUGACGCUGAGGAGCGAAAGCAUGGGGAGCGAACAGGAUUAGAUACCCUGGUAGUCCAUGCCGUAAACGUUGGGCACUAGGUGUGGGGCUCAUUCCACGAGUUCCGUGCCGCAGCUAACGCAUUAAGUGCCCCGCCUGGGGAGUACGGCCGCAAGGCUAAA
rnacentral:rRNA from 1 species